AGUUGUAUAUUUUAGCUGUGGGUCCUUCUAGUUGUGGUACGUGGGACGCCGCCUCAACGUGGGCUGAUGAGCAGUGCCAUGUCUGCACCCAGGAUCCGAAUCAGCAAAACCCUGGGCCACCGCAGUGGAGAGCGCGAACUUAACCACUUGGCCACGGGGCCAGACCCUAAAAUCACUUCUUACUUUUGAUAAAUAUGAGGAGGAUUCACCUUGAACUAACGUCUGUGCCGAUCUUCCUCUAUGUUAUAUGUGGGUUGCCACCACAGCAUGGCUGAUGAGUGGCAUAGGUCUGCACUUGGCAUCAAAACCCAUGAACCUGGGCUGCAGAAGUGGAAUGCACGGAAUUUAACCACUAUGCCACCGGGC
rnacentral:lncRNA from 1 species